rnacentral:lncRNA from 1 species
AUUGUGCUGCUUCGUGCAGCGGCCUUUUCAUAUCCUUGUUAACGACGUUGACUUUAAAGUCAACAGGUCUUUCGAAAGAGUCGCACAAAUACUCGACUACGUUCAGAUGACCUUCGCGCGCUGCAACGUGCAUAGGAGUGUCACCGGAAACCACAUGCCGAAAAACCGUCCAAUCCUGUACGUCGUACUUUAAACGACCAAGUCUGAAGCUGAAGAAGAAAAGCGUACGAGAAACGAGUAUCAAGAAGAAAGAGAGGGAAGUUGGUGGAGGUGGAGGAAGAGAAGAAGAAGAAGAAGAGGCCUUAGAAGAGAAACACGAACUGGCAAGAACUAAAGUAGGGAGAAGGAGAGAAAGAGAGAUAGGGAUAGUGAAAAGGAAGAGCAGCAACAGCAGCAACAGCAACAGCAGCAGCAGCAGCUACAGCAGCAGCAGCAGCAGCAGUAAAAGCUUUCUUGUAACAGCUUCUACGGAGCUUCUUUACUUCUAUUCGUGAGCUAACGUUUAAACGUUUAUAAAUCGGUAACUCGGAGGGGGUUUUACAUGCGUCAUCGUUGUACGGGUACAAAUCGCACGCGCUUCGACGUCCCGACGACAGUACACGUGCGCAACGACGUACUACGUCGGCCCUGUGCUGGUAAUACGGAACGUCUCAGUAGUUCUUCUUCUUCUUCUUCUUCUUCUUCUUCUUCUUCAAGGACACGCAGUGAUAAAUGUGGUACUGCCGCGAAUGACACCAACCGCGUUCUCCAAAAUGAUUGUCUUAUUCUUCUGCCUCAUACUCCUCUGCAAAGGUCAACCCGUUGUACAAGUACCUGGAGAAAAUUCAACGGUCACGACAGAUGUUGAACAAAUUACGUUAGAAGAAAAUGAAACGAGAG